GGGCUGGUUUUAGCAGUGUGUAUACUAAAAUCGGGGUGCUACGGAGAAGACUAGCAUGGCCCUGUGCAAGGCUGACGUGCAAAUUCGUGAUGCGGUCCACACUUGC
ensembl:snRNA U6 U6 spliceosomal RNA